GUUUGACUUCUACAGAAAGCACGAGGAUGCCAUGACCCCGGCAGGGCUGGCGUUUCAACAGCGCCAGUGGGACAGUUGCGUUUCCUGGGUCUUCCAUCAGCUCCUCAAUAUGAGAGAGCCCGUGUUUGAAUUUGUGCGGCCGCCUGUUUACCAUCCUCCCCAGGUGAAGUUCCCACGCCACCAGCCCCUGAGGUACCUGGACAGGUACCGAGACAGCAAGGAGCCCACCUACGGCAUUUACUAGGGCUGGGCCUCCCCUCGAGGUGCUCAGCUCUGCGCUGGCUGGAAGGGCUGGGCUUAUCCUUCCUUGGAAAAAUCAUUAAAUGAACCCAGAUCAAGUA